GUCUUAAGAUAUGGACAAUAUAUAAAUAAAGCCAUACAAAACUUAGUACUUUCUAUAUAUGGUUGGAAAGAGAUUGAGUAAGACUAACUGAUGCAAAAAACCUCAAGGCGCUACCUUAACCAUACAAAAAGAUAUGAGAGCAAAGUUUAUGAAAAUUACGUGUUUUUCGUCAAACGUCAAAUGUUUUUUGUUAAGCCGUGUAAUCGCUAACAAAUCAAAUAAAAUAAAUAAUACACAGACAAAAGAUUACUAUUAGUCAACAUUUAUUUAUAUAUCUUAUAUAUCUUCUAUGGUGAUAUAUAUUUCAUCACCAGUGAUACGAUUAUUUUUUCUAUUUAUCUUGAUGUAACAACUAUUGUUUUAAUUUAGUUUUGAGGACAUAUUUUUUAAUGUUGUAAAAAGAGAUUGUUUUUGAUUUAUUUUUAAGUUAAUUCUAGUCCAUUAAUGCAGAGUAUUUAAAGGAAUGUUUACCGUAGGAUUUUGUAUUAUAUGUUUACACACUCAGUGCAUCUCUACAAGAUUUUCUUGUGAGUUGACAGCUAAUUGCACCGCAAAGAAAAACCAUAUAUUAAAUAUUUAAGAAAAUUGACAAAAAAUGCAAGCAUUGGGAGAAACUUUGAGUUUUGGAAAGUGUUGUUUAUGAUAAAAUGUAUAUCCUAAUCAAAUUAUAAUAUUAAAACUGUCUAGUAAGAAGGAUAAUUCAUUACUGUUUAGAAACAAAAUGGACUUUGUAUAUGAAGUUCAAUACUUUGUUAAAACUGGAAAAAAAAAAUUUAUAUACAUCAGGAAUCUUUGAGGAAUCAGGACUCUUUGAGCAUUAAAAGGAAGUUUUUAAUUCCCUAUUAUAAGACAAAAAAUAUUACAUUACAUACUUAAAACAAAAAAAAAUUGUUAUGUAGUCUAGAUUUCUAAUUCGAUUGAAAAAAUAGAGUUUUUAAAAAAGCCAAUAUUCACAAAUAAUGCAGAGGUCCUGAUAAGAAAUACAAUAAAGAAUAAAGUAAGUUUGAAACACAUUGGGAACACAGAAAAAUUAUGGAAUGCAUUGGAAGUUGUCAAAUCAACAAAUGUAAACAGUUUUGAAAAAAAAAAUAGACAAAUUUUUAUUGAUUUUAUUUUUUUUUCAAUUUUCAGUUUUUGCAUUAUAUUAUCAAAAGUUAUAUUUGUUGAA